rnacentral:rRNA from 1 species
CGACCUGAGCUCAGGGAAGGCCACCCGCUGAACUUAAGCAUAUC